CAAGACAUACUGGAAAACAGGGCAUACAAUUACGAGGACAAUUUAGUGGUGCUUAAGACUAGAGACCCCAGACUCAACAAAAAAUUAUCCAUACCUCAGUUCGUGAUUGCCUUCAGGAUAUACCGUGAUGUCAUGUGCACGGUGUAUCCACACAGAAGAGAAGAGCUAGACCUCUACCUCCACAAGGUGGUGGAUUUAGGCAUCAAGUACUGGGGCUCAUCUUUUUACCACUAUCAUAAG